AAACUCAAAGAAUUGACGGGGCCCGCACAAGCGGUGGAGUAUGUGGUUCAAUUCGAUGCUACGCGGAAAACCUACCUGGGUUUGACAUCCCGGGCUACCCUGUGAAAGCAGGGGUUCCCUUCGGGGACUCGGAGACAGGUGCUGCAUGGCUGUCGUCAGCUCGUGUUGUGAGAUGUUGGGUUAAGUCCCGCAACGAGCGCAACCCUCGCCCUUAGUUACCAUCAUUCAGUUGGGGACUCUAAGGGGACCGCUUGGCUAUAAGCCAGAGGAAGGUGGGGAUGACGUCAAGUCCUCAUGGCCUUUAUAUCCAGGGCAACACACGUACCACAAUGGGAGAGCACAAAGCGCAGCGAGCUCGCAAGAGCAAGCAAAUCGCAAAAAAUCUCCCUCAGUUCGGAUUGGGGUCUGCAACUCGACCCCAUGAAGCUGGAAUCGCUAGUAAUCGCGGAUCAGCAUGCCGCGGUGAAUACGUUCCCGGGCCUUGUACACACCGCCCGUCACACCAUGGGAGUGAGAUGUACCGGAAAGCGCUGAGCUAACCCGCAAGGGGGGCAGGUGUUUAUGGUAUGGCUCAUGACUGGGGUGGAGUCGUAACAAGGUAACC
rnacentral:rRNA from 1 species